GGAAUUCGCCCUUAGAGUUUGAUCCUGGCUCAGGAUGAACGCUGGCGGCGUGCUUAACACAUGCAAGUCGAACGGGGAUCACUUGACGGAGCUUUUCGGAGUGAAGUGAUUUGAUUCUAGUGGCGGACGGGUGAGUAACACGUGAGUAACCUGCCUUUUGCUGGGGAAUAACUGUGGGAAACCAUGGCUAAUACCGCAUGUUGUGUAUACAGGGCAUCUUGUGUACAUGAAAGGAGAAAUCCGGCAGAAGAUGGGCUCGCGUCCGAUUAGGUAGUUGGUGGGGUAACGGCCUACCAAGCCCGCGAUCGGUAGCCGGACUGAGAGGUCGAACGGCCACAUUGGGACUGAGACACGGCCCAGACUCCUACGGGAGGCAGCAGUGGGGAAUAUUGGGCAAUGGGGGAAACCCUGACCCAGCGACGCCGCGUGAAGGACGAAGGCUUUCGGGUUGUAAACUUCUUUAGGGAGGGACGAAAAUGACGGUACCUCCAGAAUAAGCCACGGCUAACUACGUGCCAGCAGCCGCGGUAAUACGGAGGAUCCGAGCGUUAUCCGGAAUUAUUGGGUUUAAAGGGUGCGUAGGCGGCCAUUUAAGUCAGCGGUGAAAUUUUGCAGCUUAACUGUAACAGUGCCGUUGAUACUGUUUGGCUAGGAUUUGGUUGUAGUGUGCGGAAUGUGUGGUGUAGCGGUGAAAUGCUUAGAUAUCACACAGAACACCGAUUGCGAAGGCAGCACACUAAGUCAUUAUUGACGCUGAGGCACGAAAGUGUGGGGAUCAAACAGGAUUAGAUACCCUGGUAGUCCACACUGUAAACGAUGAUAACUCGCUGUCGGCGAUACACAGUCGGUGGCCAAGCGAAAGCAUUAAGUUAUCCACCUGGGGAGUACGACCGCAAGGUUGAAACUCAAAGGAAUUGACGGGGGCCCGCACAAGCAGAGGAACAUGUGGUUUAAUUCGAUGAUACGCGAGGAACCUUACCCGGGCUCGAACGGUGCAUGAAUAUACGAGAGAUUGUAUAGUCCUUCGGGACAUGUAUCGAGGUGCUGCAUGGUUGUCGUCAGCUCGUGCCGUGAGGUGUCGGCUUAAGUGCCAUAACGAGCGCAACCCUCGUCAUUAGUUGCCAUCGGGUUAUGCCGGGCACUCUAUUGGGACUGCCAUCGUAAGAUGUGAGGAAGGUGGGGAGGACGUCGAAUCAGCACGGCCCUUAUGUCCGGGGCGACACACGUGUUACAAUGGGGGGUACAGCGGGUUGCUACCUGGUGACAGGGUGCUAAUCUUCAAAUCCUCUCUCAGUUCGGAUCGGAGUCUGAAACUCGACUCCGUGAAGCUGGAUUCGCUAGUAAUCGCGCAUCAGCCACGGCGCGGUGAAUACGUUCCCGGGCCUUGCACACACCGCCC
rnacentral:rRNA from 1 species